AAUUCAAAUUUCUAGCCAUAUAUUAAACGACCCCAAGUAGAGGGAUUUUACCAGAGAAAGCAAGAACACUAAGAUGGGUGAAUCGGCCUGCCUGAAGAGAUCGUUCUCCGACCCUUCGGAGUGUUCCGCUGAAGUCAAAGAGCCAAGACGCAGUGCCGAGGAGACCAGAUCUGAACCUCUGAAUGGCUGAUCAAUCAGUCCGGAUCUGAUGUGAAUCGGGUAGCUCCGAUUACCCAAAUCGACGUCCACAACGGUGGGAGCCACAGGACCCGUUUUGCUCGACGGCUGAUCCACCACCUGCGCUGAGCUCGCCAUAAUCCUCGACCUCUAUCUCUGUAACGAAUGGUGUGGUGAGGGGUUCGUGGAGGUCGAUGUCGAUGUGGGUGUCUUUCGCAGUGCUCGCGGCCAUGGCCCACGGGAGUGGCGUACGGAGAGGCUGGAGAAUCUGGGUUGGAGAGAAGGAUUUAAGUUUUAAAAUUAAAUUUAUUUUUAACUAUAUUUUUUUUAAUUGAGAUUUUUUGUAAUUUCUUUUAAUUUAAUCCACGUGGCACAUAUAUUGUGGGAUUCGUAACGUCCACGUUGGUAGCUAACGGAAAAGUUAAUGGUUUUUAUAUAUAUUCUUGUUUAGUCUUGUUCA